rnacentral:rRNA from 1 species
GACGGAGGAUGCAAGUGUUAUCCGGAAUCACUGGGCGUAAAGCGUCUGUAGGUGGUUUAAAAAGUCCACUGUUAAAAAUUGAAGCUUAACUUCAAAGAUGCCGUGGAAACUUUUAAACUUGAGUAUGGUAGGGUAGAGGGAAUUUCCAGUGGAGCGGUGAAAUGCGUAGAUAUUGGAAAGACCACCAAUGGCGAAGGCACUCUACUGGGCCAUUACUGACACUGAGAGACGAAAGCUAGGGGAGCAAACAGG